GCCUCAUAGUGAUAUUACAAAUACUGCCCAGCCUCUGACUAGGUAUUUAAUAUGGUUUGGUGACUGCUGGAUUAAUUUGGUUAUUAGGAAAAGCUGGGUGCAAAAUUCAUUACAAAGAUUUAAGAUAGCUGUCACUAGUACAUUAGAUCAAGGGGCAGAGAUAUCAUGUAACCGCCUAAGUGUAUUCCGUUGAAGAUUACAAGGUACUGCUAAAACAGAAAUAUGCUGGUUCUAUUGACAGAUGGCGAGAUGUUUGAAAUUUCAUUAUUGUAACUGCAACACUGGUACUUUUAGGUAGAAAUGAAGUUUUUAGGGCAUAAACUACAGGUCAGUUUGUGACAACGGUCUGGAGUAAAAUGGGGAGGAGUGUUUAUUUCAGCAGUGGUACAGUCAAAUAAUAUUGCCUAAUGCUCAAUGCAGUAAUAAGAAAACUAUAAAUGAAUGUGAUUUUAUGAUCACAAUACACUCUCCUAAUAGUAUGACAGAACUAAUGAAUACCACUUACACAAGUACCUUAAGAUAGAUAAGUACUCUUGACUUAGAUAACACCCAUGCACAUGGAGGGGGUGAAUUCAAUACAAGACCUGUACUACUUUUUUCUCACAUAUGCCAGGGUGAAGACCCAUGUCACCCUGAUGAUAGAGUCAAUUAUGUUUCAAAUAUGAUUCUACUAACAUUUAUCUUUCAUCAUCAUUACUUUCUAUAUACUUUCUAUCACAGCCUUUUCAGACACUUGAUGUAAAUAACAUUUACAAUAAUGAUAGUAACACUUUGAUCUGAUGUAGCUUAAUAAAUUUUAUCAUGUUUACAGGAGGAUGUACUUUUUUCCCUGCGCGUGUUCCCUUUGAAUUAAGAGGUAUGUAUAGAAGCAAGUCCUUAAUUGACAGAGGGUGACCUGCUAAUUGCCUUCUAGUUGCAGUUAACAGGCAAUCAGACAGCCAGUUGUGCAAACCAAGGAGAAACACCAAACACCAAGACAAGUACAGUUGAAGUCGGAGGUUUACAAUGAAUUCUUUAAAACUCGCUAUAUAACCCCUCCACAGAUAUUAUACUAACAAACUAUAAAUUUGGCAUAUCGUUUAAGACAUCUACUUUGUGCAGGUCAAAAUGAUU